rnacentral:lncRNA from 1 species
GGGAAAGGCCAGUCUGUUCUACGAAAUUACAUAAAGAAUUAAUAGGUCCUGCAUUAGUGGCAUAAGCAUUGAAAGGGACUACAGAAAUGGCUUGUCAGAAUUUAACGCACCUUUUCUCCAUUAAAAGGAUUGUGGCGAUAUUUGAUGCAGACUACUAAACGUGACCCCUUUUAAGAUUGGUAUCCAGUGGAACGUGUUAAUGGCAUGAUACCCAGUUUGAUUGCUUUAAAUUAUGCAGAGGAAUUGGUCUGUCGUCGGAUCUUGGAUAGAACUUCAUCCAGCAUUCUGCACAUGGGAGUUUCCUCCUUAACCACCUGGCUUCUAAAUAAACCAAAUAAACCUGG